rnacentral:rRNA from 1 species
UACAGAGGGGGCAAGCGUUGUUCGGGAUUACUGGGCGUAAGGGGCGCGUAGGCGGCCUUCUAAGUCGAACGUGAAAUCCCCGGGCUCAACCCGGGAACUGCGUCCGAUACUGGAAGGCUUGAAUCCGGGAGAGGGAUGUGGAAUUCCAGGUGUAGCGGUGAAAUGCGUAGAUAUCAGGAGGAACACCGAUAGCGAAGGCAGCUCGCUGGGACGGAACUGACGCUGAGACGCGAAAGCGUGGGGAGCAAACAGG